AUUCAAAGAUAGAUGAUGUGAUCUUUCAGACCAAGGAGUUGCACUAAUUAUGAUGAUGGAUGUGAUCUUUCAGACCAUGGAGUUGCAUCAAAUGUGAUGAUGGAUAGAUGUCAGAAAGUGGACUGCGGCGGAGUUAUGCAGAACUUGACAUGCAUGGUGGAAGUUGAUCGAGACUAUCAAUUCUUCGAGAGGUCCAGCGACUUUAUACUCGCAAGAAGGAUAUGGUAUGGAAUAGCUUUCUACACCUCUGGGCUGGCAGAUUUGUAAGAUUGGAAGUUGUUUCAGUGUGGAGAGAGAUGAACACUUUGUAUUGUCAGGUAAAAUUUGCUUUUGAAGUCACAAGUAAGUCUCAAUAAAGGCAUUUCCAUUUCUAGUUGUUUAGCUAACUAUGUACUGGAAAGUUGGUGGUUCUACUCUUAAAAGGUGUCUGUCUUUGUCCCAAGUAAGUCUCAAUAAAGCCAUUUCAAUUUCUUCUUUUCUAACUAGCUAUGUAUUGGAAAGUUGGUGGUUCUACUCUUAAAAGGUGUCUGUCUUUGUCCCAAGUAAGUCUCAAUAAAGCCAUUUCCAUUUCUUCUUUUCUAACUAGCUAUGUAUUGGAAAGUUGGUGGUUCUACUCUUAAAAGGUGUCUGUCUUUGUCCGAAACAAUGUCAUUAAGGCACAUUUUCCUCUACCUUUAAAGCUGGACAGUCACCAAAAUAGAACAUAGAAUUUUAUAUCUUUAAUAGAAAAAUUGCUAAGGUUACAUUGUUACUUUUUGAGAUUGCAAUGUUGUUCUGUUAACCCCAGUGACAUUUCAGUGAACUCUUGCAACAUGUUGGCUAGAUUUAUGUCGGAAUGUGGAUGGUUGUGUGACAUUGGUGAAGUGAUUUUUAUGACAUUGGUGAAGUGUGAUUGUGCUGGAAAGUGACAUGAUGGAGCAUUGUAAACCUAUAGACCAUGGAGUCUGAAUGGCUUAAGUGGCAUCACAUGUGAUGAUGGAUAGAUGUCAGAAAGUGGAUGGUAAAAGCACACCUGUGACAGAGUAAUGAAGAACUUGACAUGCAUGGUGGAAGUUGAUCGAGACUAUCAAUUCUUCGAGAGGUCCAGCGACUAUGAUACUCGCAAGAAGGAUAUGGUAUGGAAUAGCUUUCUACACUUCUGGGCUGGCAGAUUUGUGAUUAUGGAAGUUGUUUCAAUGUGGAGUGAGAUGAACACUUUGUAUGGUCAGAAAAUCCUUGCAACAUGUUGGCUAGAUUUCUAGAUUGAUGUCAGAAGUUGUGUUUGAUGGAUUUAUGUUGGAAUUUGGAUGGUUUUGUGACAUUGAUGAAGAUUUGUCAGAUUUGGGAGUUGCUCCAGUGCGGAGAGAG